rnacentral:rRNA from 1 species
AUUGAACGCUGGCGGCAGGCCUAACACAUGCAAGUCGAACGAGUGGCGGACGGGUGAGUAAUGUCUGGGAAACUGGAUGAUGGAGGGGGAUAACUAGUGGAAACGGUAGCUACUACCGCAUACCACCGGAUGUGCCCAGAUGGGAUUAGCUAGUAGGUGGGGUAAAGGCUCACCAAGGCGACGAUCCCUAGCUGGUAUGAGAGGAGGACCAGCCACGAUGGUACGGAGACACGGUCUAACCUCCGACGGGAGGCAGCAGUGGGGAAUAUACCACAAUGGGCGCAAGCCUCAUGCAGCCAUGCCGGGUGUAUGAAGAAGGCCUUCGGGUUGUAAAGUACUUUCAGCGGGGAAGCGUUACCCGCAGAAGAAGCACAGGCUAACUCCGUGCCAGCAGCCGCGGUAAUUC